GCGAAAACUUUACAAUGCUGGCAACAACGAUAAGGGAACCUCGAGUGCCAGGUUACAAAUCUGGCUGUCGAGAUGCCUAAAAAGCAUUUCAUAGCAAGGGCCGGGCAAGACCGGUUCCAGCCGACGCGGUAACACCGGCGGCUCGAGUUGUAACCGUUAUUAUAGUGUCUAAAGGGUCUGUAGCCGGCCGGAUAAGUCUCUUGAGAAAUCUGGCAGCUUAACUGUCAGGCUUUCAGGAGAUACUGUCUGGCUCGAGGCCGGGUGAGGUGAGGGGUACUUCAGGGGUAGGGGUGAAAUCUUGUAAUCCUUGAAGGACCACCAGUGGCGAAGGCGUCUCACCAGAACGGACCUGACGGCAAGGGACGAAAGCUAGGUGCACGAACC
rnacentral:rRNA from 1 species